AUCAUGUGAGAAUCGCGAUGGGGGGAUCCCAAGUGCCAUUCUUAACGGGAUGGCUUUUCUUAAGUGUAAAGAGCUUUUGGAAUAAGAGCUGGGCAAGACCGGUGCCAGCCGCCGCGGUAACACCGGCAGCUCUAGUGGUAGCUGUUUUUAUUGGGCCUAAAGCGUUCGUAGCCGGUUUAAUAAGUCUCUGGUGAAAUCCUAUAGCUUAACUGUGGGAAUUGCUGGAGAUACUAUUAGACUUGAGAUCGGGAGAGGUCAGAGGUACUCCUGGGGUAGGGGUGAAAUCCUGUA
rnacentral:rRNA from 1 species